UACAGGGGGGGCUAGUGUUAUUCAGAAUGACUGGGCGUAAAGGGUAUGUAGGUUGUUUUUGAUAUUAGAAGUAAAAACCAGAGCCUAACUUUGGUACAAUUCUAACAGAACUAAACUAGAGUUUAUUCGAAGGUUGUGGAAUUUCUUAAGUAGUGAUGAAAUACAUUGAUAUAAGAAGGAAGGCCGUUGCGCGAAAGCAACUUCCUAGAAUUAAACUGACACUGAGAUACGAAAGCAUGGGGAGCAAACGGG
rnacentral:rRNA from 1 species